CGGUUAAAAAGCUUGUAGUUGGAUUCCUGUAUGGAAAGUGCGUCCCUGCCCCUUGGAUGGGGGCUGCUUCUUUCUUUGCAUCAUCUGGAGUAGGUGUCCUCAGUUAACUGUGAGGAUAUUCGUACUCUGGGCAUUUACUUUGAGGAAAAGAGAGUGCUCCAAGCAGGCAAACGCCUGAAUACGUUAGCAUGGAAUAAUAGCAUCGGAUCACCGUACAGCUGUUGGUGUCUGGACGAAGAUAAAGGUGAACAGGGACUGUUGGGGGCAUUCGUAUUUAACUGUCAGAGGUGAAAUUCUUGGAUUUGUUGAAGACGAGCUACUGCGAAAGCAUUUGCCAAAGAUGUUCUCAUUGAUCAAGAACGAAAGUUAGGUGAUCGAAGGCGAUCAGAUGCCGUCCUAGUCUUAACCAUAAACUAUGCCAACUGGAGAUGGGGCGUGUUUAUUUUACGACUCUUCCUGCAUCUUGAGAGAAAUCAAAGUCUUUGGGUUCCGGGGGGAGUAUGGUCGCAAGGCUGAAACUUAAAGGAAUUGACGGAAGGGCACCACCAGGAGUGGAGCCUGCGGCUUAAUUUGACUCAACACGGGGAAACUUACCAGGUCCGGACAUAGGUAGGAUUGACAGACUGAGAGCUCUUUCUAGAUUCUAU
rnacentral:rRNA from 1 species